rnacentral:rRNA from 1 species
CCUACGUGAGGCAGCAGUGAGGAAUAUUGGUCAAUGGGCGAGAGCCUGAACCAGCCAAGUCGCGUGAAGGAUGAAGGAUCUAUGGUUUGUACACUUCUUUUAUAUGGGAAUAAAGUGAGGAACGUGUUCCUUUUUGUAUGUACCAUAUGAAUAAGCAUCGGCUAACUCCGUGCCAGCAGCCGCGGUAAUACGGAGGAUGCGAGCGUUAUCCGGAUUUAUUGGGUUUAAAGGGUGCGUAGGUUGUUUUUUAAGUCAGCGGUGAAAGUUUGUGGCUCAACCAUAAAAUUGCCGUUGAAACUGGAAGACUUGAGUGUGUUUGAGGUAGGCGGAAUGCGUGGUGUAGCGGUGAAAUGCAUAGAUAUCACGCAGAACUCCGAUUGCGAAGGCAGCUUACUAAGCCAUAACUGACACUGAAGCACGAAAGCGUGGGGAUCAAACAGGAUUAGAUACCCCAGUAGUC